UACGGGGGGGGCAAGUGUUGUUCGGAAUUACUGGGCGUAAAGGGCUCGUAGGCGGCCAACUAAGUCAGACGUGAAAUCCCUCGGCUUAACCGGGGAACUGCAUCUGAUACUGGAUGGCUUGAGUUCGGGAGAGGGAUGCGGAAUUCCAGGUGUAGCGGUGAAAUGCGUAGAUAUCUGGAGGAACACCGGUGGCGAAGGCGGCAUCCUGGACCGGCACUGACGCUGAGGAGCGAAAGCCAGGGGAGCAAACGGG
rnacentral:rRNA from 1 species